CGUCGCGUCUGUUUCUGGGGCCUUCUCCCGCCCGCUGUCGCUCCGCCUACGUGCAGAGUCCGGUUGCAUGAGUUGCGCAAUCCGUAGCCGGGGAAGCGCUACGUGGAGACAGAACAGAGUGGAUGGCGAUCCCUGGAACUGGGGAGCUAGAGGGCGGAAGUUACUAAGAGAAAUAAACAAGUCAAAGAUCUCUGCCAUGUGCUGGGACUGAUGCCGAUUCUAGGAACGCAAAAAAGCCUGAGUGGCUUGUAAUGAGUUUGAGUAAUAUUUCAUUGGAAAAGACCCGGAUGCUGG